rnacentral:lncRNA from 1 species
CUGGAAAACAAAUCAAGAAAUGAGCACUUCUCUCUCGGAGAGGAUAUUUUAAACUCCAAAACUAUCCAACUGCUCUUACUAAAACCAUGACUGCCACUUAAUAGCUAUGUGACCUUGGGCCAAUUUACCUCAUUAAGCUUUUGUAAAGGGUAUCAUAAGGACAAGCAAGAUCAUGGAUGUAAAGUGCUCGGCACAGUUUAUCCACUCCCUGUAUUGUGCCUCAGUCAUGUGCCAGAGGCUACUCCCGGUGCUGAUGACACAGAUGUGAAUAAUAGACAUUAUUAGCAGGGGAAAGAAACAUUUGUAAACAUUGAAAAAAUACUAUUCCACCUUAUAGGAAGAAAACUACCUUUUUUAGUGCUGGGUGUGAAACAGGGCAGUAAUUAGGCAAGAGGGACAGUAAAACUGAAGACUAUAAAGACUAUAAAACUGAAGACUAUAAAGACUAUAAAGACAUGACUGAGGCACAAUACAGGGAGUGGAUAAACUGUCCCAAGCACUUUACAUCCAUGAUCUUGUUUGUCCUUAUAAAGCAGGAAGGAGCACGGUGACUUAGAGGAAGUAGUAAUUGCCAGUGUGGCUGGAGGACACAAGGCUAGGGAAAGAACGAUGAGGGAUGGGGCUGUAGAGUAGACAGACAAUAGCUCAAUCAACCAGGGCCUGAGAUGUCAUGUUAAGGAUGCUGGCCUGCUUUUUGUCGUAAGAGAAACGGGAGGCUUUAAGUAUAAUAAAUAACAUGGUAGAUGCUGGGACAAAUGGUAGCUUGUCACUAAUCUACUUGACCAGAUGGUAUAUAAUAGAAACCUUUUAUGGCUCUGUUAGAAACACCUCCAAAGUCUCUUCUGCUCCUCAGUGAAGUAAAAACUUUCUGCAGAGCAGAAUACAAGAUUUAUAUACAGGCCGGGUGCAGUGGCUCAGGCCUGUAAUCCCGGCACUUCGGGAGGACAAGGUGGGUGGAUCACGAGGUCAGGAAUUCAAGACCCAGCCUGGCCAAGAUGGUGAAACCCCAUCUCUGCUAAAAAUACAAAAAAAAAAAAAAAAAUAGCUGGGGGUGGUGGCAGGCGCCUGUAUUCCCAGCUACUCGGGGGCUGAGGCAGAGAAUUGCUUGAACCUGGGAGGCAGAGGUUGCAGUGAGCCGAGAUUGUGCCACUGGACUCCAGCCUGGGCGACAGAGCGAGACUCCAUCUCAAAAAAAAAAAACAAAAAAAAGUAGCCAGGCACGGUGGCCCAGGCCUGUAAUCCCAGCUACUCAGGAGCCUGAGGCAGGAGAAUCGUUGGAACCCGUGAGGCAGAGCUUACAGUGAGCCGAGUUUGCACCACUGCACUCCAGCCUGUCCGACAGAGCAAGACUCCAUCUCAAAACAAACAAACAAAAAUUCAUAUGUUGAAUUCUUAACUCCCAAAAUGAUAGUAUUAGGAGAUGGGGCUUUUGAGAUAUGAUUAGAUCAUGAGGGUGGAACCCUCACGAAUGGAAUCAGUGCCCUAAUAAAAGAAACCCAGACAACUCGCUCACUCUGUUUCCCCCAUGUGAAAACACAGCAAGAAGACAAUUAGCUAGGCAUGGCGGUGGGCGCCUGUAAUCCCAGCUAUUUGGGAGGCUGAGGCAGAAGAAUCUCAUGAAUCUGGGAGGUAGAGGUUGCAGUGAGCCAAGAUCACACCACUGCACUCCAGCCUAGAUGACAGAGCGAGACUCCGUCUCCAAAAAAUAAAAAAUCAAUAUACAAAUAUCAGUGGUGUCUCUACACAGUAGCAAUGAACAAUCUGAAAAUGAAAUUAAGAAAAUUCCAUUUAUAAGAGCAUCAAGAGCCGGACCCAGUGGCUCAUGCCUGUAAUCCCAGCACUUUGGGAGUCCGAAGUGGGCGGAUCACGAGGUCAGGAGUUCGAGACCAGUCUGGCCAACAUGGUGAAACCCCGUCUCUACUAAAAAUACAAAAAAAAAAAAAAAUUAGUUGGGUGUGGUGGCAGGCGCCUGUAAUCCCAGCUACUCAGUAGGCUGAGGCAGGAGAAUCACUUGAACCUGGGAGGCGGAGGUUGCAGUGAGCUGAGACCAUGUCAUUACACUCCUGCCUGGGUGACAGAGCAAGACUCUGUCUCAAAAGAAAAAAAAAAAAGCUUCAAGAAGAAUAUAAUAUUUUUAAAAAAUUGAACAAAAGAAGGAACUACACAAUAUUGUCAAAAGAAGCUAAAGAAGAUCUAAAUAAAUGAAAAGACAUCCCACGUUCAUAAAGAUUUACUAUUGCUAAAAUGAUAAUACCCCCCAAACUGAUCUGCAGAUUCAACAUAAUCUCUAUCAAAAUCCCAGUUGCCUUUUUUGCAGAAAUUGACAAUCUAGUCCUAAAAUCUGUUUGCAAAUACAAGGGACCCAGAAUUGCCAAAAAAAAAAAAAACUCUUGAAAAAAAUAAGAGCAAAGUUGGAGAAUUCACACUUCUGAAUUUCAAAACUUAUACUACAAAGCUACAGUAGUGAAAACAGUGUGGUACUAACAUAAGGAUAGACAUACUUAUAAAUGGAAUAGAAUUGAGAAUCCAGAAACAAACCCUUACAUUUACAGUCAAUUGAUUUCAACAAGAGUGCCAAGACAAUUUAAUGAAGAAAAAAAAUAGUCUUUUCAACAAAUGGUGCUAGGAUAACUAAAUAUCAAUAUAUAAAAAGCAUGAAUUUAGAUUUCUACCUUAAGCUAUAAACAAAUAUUGACUCAAAUGGAUCACAGAUCCAAAUGUAAGGGUUAAAACCAUAAAAAACUGGGAAAAAAAAAACAUAGGAAUAAAUCUUUGUGACCUCAGCUUAGGCAAGAGCUCCUUAGAUAUGACACCAAAAGCACAAGCAACAAAAGAAGAAAUAGAUAAAUUGGACUACAUCAAAAUUAAAACUUUUGUGCCUCAAAGAAUACCAUGAAGAAAGUGAAAUGACAAACCAUGGAAUGGGAAAAAAUAUCUGCAAAUAAUAUAUCUGAUAAGGUACUUAUAUCUAGAAUUUAUAGAGAACAUUUACAACUCAAUAAUAAGACAAAUAACCCAAAUGCAAAAUGGACAAAGGGCUUGAAUGAACAUUUCUCCAAAGAAGAUAUACAAAUAGCCAACAAGCACCUGAAAAUAUCCUGAACAGUAUUAGUCCUUCAGGAAAUACAAAUCAAAACCAUAGUGAGAUACCACUUUAUACCUACUAGGAUGGCUAAAAUUAAAGGAUAAUAAUUGUCUAGAAUGUGAAAAAAUUGGAACUGUCACACAUGACAGGUGGGAAUGUAAAGUGGUAUAUAGUCACUUUGAAAAGUAGUUUGGCUGUUCUUCAAAAAUAUUAAGCAGAGUUGCCAUAUGACCCAACUAUUAUAAUCCUAGGUAUAUAUCCAUGAGAAAUGAAAACAUAUGUCCACACAAAAACCUGUAUAUGAUAGCAGCAUUACUCAUAAUAGCCAAAAGUGAAAAUAACACAAAUGUCCAUCAACUGUGAAUUGAUAAACAAAAUGUGGUAUAUCCACCUAAAAGAAUUAUCAUCCAGCCAUAAAAAGGAAUGAAAUGUUGAUAUGUGCUACAACAUGAAUGAGUCUUGAAAAUAUGCUAAAUGAGGCUGGGCACGGUGGCUUACACCUGUAAUCCCAGCACUUUGGGAGGCCAAGGUGGGCGGAUCACCUGAGGUCAGGAGUUCAAGACCAGCCUGACCAACAUAGAGAAACUCCAUCUCUAUUAAAAAUUCAAAAUUAGCUGGGCGUGGUGGUGCAUGCCUGUAAUCCCAGCUACUUGGGAGGCUGAGGC